rnacentral:rRNA from 1 species
GACGAACGCUGGCGGCGUGCUUAACACAUGCAAGUCGAACGGUGAAAGAGAGCUUGCUCUCUGGAUCAGUGGCGAACGGGUGAGUAACACGUGGGCAACCUGCCCCUGACUCUGGGAUAACUCCUCGAAAGAGGUGCUAAUACCGGAUACGAACUCCACAGGCAUCUGCGGAGUUGGAAAGUUUUUCGGUCAGGGAUGGGCCCGCGGCCUAUCAGCUUGUUGGUGAGGUAGCGGCUCACCAAGGCGACGACGGGUAGCCGGCCAGAGAGGGCGACCGGCCACACUGGGACUGAGACACGGCCCAGACUCCUACGGGAGGCAGCAGUGGGGAAUAUUGCGCAAUGGGCGAAAGCCUGACGCAGCAACGCCGCGUGAGGGAUGACGGCCUUCGGGUUGUAAACCUCUUUCAGCAGGGAAGAAGCGAAAGUGACGGUACCUGCAGAAGAAGCACCGGCUAACUACGUGCCAGCCGCCGCUGUAAAAC